UAGCGUCUAACGGGUGAGUAAUGCCUAGGAAUCUGCCUGAUAGUGGGGGACAACGUGUGGAAACGCACGCUAAUACCGCAUACGUCCUACGGGAGAAAGGGGGCUUUUCGGAGCUCUCGCUAACAGAUGAGCCUAGGUCAGAUUAGCUAGUUGGUAGGGUAAAGGCCUACCAAGGCGACGAUCUGUAGCGGGUCUGAGAGGAUGAUCCGCCACACUGGAACUGAGACACGGUCCAGACUCCUACGGGAGGCAGCAGUGGUGAAUAUUGGACAAUGGGCGAAAGCCUGAUCCAGCCAUGACGCGUGUGUGAAGAAGGCCUUUUGGUUGUAAAGCACUUUAAGCGGGGAGGAGGGCACCUUGGUUAAUACCCAAGAAUGUCGGACGUUACCCGCAGAAUAAGCACCGGCUAACUCUGUGCCAGCAGCCGCGGUAAUACAGAGGGUGCGAGCGUUAAUCGGAAUUACUGGGCGUAAAGCGCACGUAGGCGGCUUGUUAAGUCAAAUGUGAAAUCCCCGAGCUUAACUUGGGCAUUGCAUUCGAUACUGGCAAGCUAGAGUAUGGGAGAGGAAGGUAGAAUUCCAGGUGUAGCGGUGAAAUGCGUAGAGAUCUGGAGGAAUACCGAUGGCGAAAGCAGCCUUCUGGCCUAAUACUGACGCUGAGGUGCGAAAGCAUGGGGAGCAAACAGGAUUAGAUACCCUGGUAGUCCAUGCCGUAAACGAUGUCAACUAGUCGUUGGGCCCCUUGAGGGCUUAGUGCGCAGCUAACGCGAUAAGUUGACCGCCUGGGGAGUACGGUC
rnacentral:rRNA from 1 species